CCUACGGGUGGCAGCAGUGAGGAAUAUUGGUCAAUGGGCGAGAGCCUGAACCAGCCAAGUCGCGUGAGGGAAGACGGUCCUACGGGUUGUAAACCUCUUUUGUCAGGGAGCAAGGAGCGCCACGAGUGGUUCGGCUAGAGUACCUGAAGAAAAAGCAUCGGCUAACUCCGUUCCAACAGCCGCGGUAAUACUGAGGAUGCGGACGUUAUCCGGAUUUAUUGGGGUUAAAGGGUUAGCAGGCGGAAGCGGCAAGUCAGCGGUAAAAUUGCGGGGCUCAACCUCGCCGAGCCGUUGAAACUGCUCUUCGAGAGUGGGCGAGAAGUAUGCGGAAUGCGUGGUGUAGCGGUGAAAUGCAUAGAUAUCACGCAGAACUCCGAUUGCGAAGGCAGCAUACCGGCGCCCAACUGACGCUCAUGCACGAAAGCAUGGGUAUCGAACAGGAUUAGAUACCCCAGUAGUC
rnacentral:rRNA from 1 species